CUUGACAUAUGGAUUCACACCUGUCCUCAGAGACCCUGAUACACACUGACACAGGGCAGAAUAGGGACUGUUCCCCCUACAUAGGGUCACUUGGCAGAUAUGGAUUGACACCUGUCAACACACUGACACAGAGCAGAAUAGAGACUGUUCCCCCUACAUAGGGUCACUUGGCAGAUCUGGAUUGACACCUGUCCUAAGGAUCCCUGAUACACAAUGACAGAGCAGAAUAGGG